rnacentral:rRNA from 1 species
GUGGGGAAUAUUGGACAAUGGGCGCAAGCCUGAUCCAGCAAUGCCGCGUGGGUGAAGAAGGUCUUCGGAUCGUAAAGCCCUUUCGACAGGGACGAUGAUGACGGUACCUGUAGAAGAAGCCCCGGCUAACUUCGUGCCAGCAGCCGCGGUAAUACGAAGGGGGCUAGCGUUACUCGGAAUUACUGGGCGUAAAGGGCGCGUAGGUGGCUCUGUUAGUCAGGCGUGAAAUUCCUGGGCUUAACCUGGGGACUGCGCUUGAUACUGCAGGGCUUGAGGCCGAGAGAGGGUGGUGGAAUUCCCAGUGUAGAGGUGAAAUUCGUAGAUAUUGGGAAGAACACCGGUGGCGAAGGCGACCACCUGGCUCGGUUCUGACGCUGAGGCGCGACAGCGUGGGGAGCAAACAGGAUUAGAUACCCCAGUAGUCC